GAGCAACCUGCCCGAAAGUGGGGAAUAGCCCGGGGAAACUCGGAUUAAUACCGCAUAUGAUUCUGCAAGGCAUCUUGCAAUAAUCAAAGCUGGGGAUCGUAAGACCUAGCGCUUUCGGAUGGGCUCGCGGCCUAUCAGCUUGUUGGUAAGGUAACGGCUUACCAAGGCUACGACGGGUAACUGGUCUGAGAGGACGACCAGUCACACUGGAACUGAGACACGGUCCAG
rnacentral:rRNA from 1 species